rnacentral:snoRNA from 1 species
UGUGCAAAUGAUGAUAAAGAAAGACAGGGACAUCAGAAAUCUGUUCGAGCAUGAUGAUUGUCUGUGGGAAUCUCUCUGAUGCAAA